rnacentral:rRNA from 1 species
CAAUAGCGUAUAUUAAAGUUGUUGCGGUUAAAAAGUUCGUAGUUGGAUUUCUGCUGAGAACGACCGGUCCGCCCUUUGGGUGUGUAUCUGGCUCUUUCUUGGCAUCUUCUUGGUGAACGUUGCUGCACUUGACUGUGUGGAGCGCUACCCAGGACUUUUACUUUGAGGAAAUUAGAGUGUUUCAAGCAGGCAUACGCCUUGAAUACAUUAGCAUGGAAUAAUAAGAUAGGACCUCGGUUCUAUUUUGUUGGUUUCUAGAGCUGAGGUAAUGAUUAAUAGGGAUAGUUGGGGGCAUUCGUAUUUAACUGUCAGAGGUGAAAUCCUUGGAUUUGUUAAAGACGGACUACUGCGAAAGCAUUUGCCAAGGAUGUUUUCAUUGA